CCUCAGCACUCGGGCCCCUGCAUUCACUCUCUCCCUAUCCCUCCCCCACCCAAGUCGCACUAGCUUCUCAUUUUCACCAUACAAACAGCUUGCAAUGGUGUUUCCUUUGUCAUCGUUACUUUUUUGCAUAUGUUUCAUUUAUUUUUCUGUAUCUCUUCACAUCACCGUCUCUGUCUCUUGUUCCCUUAUCCCUCACCAGUCUGAAGAAGGGUCUCGACCCGAAACGUCACCCAUUCCUUCUCUCCAGGGAUGCUGCCUGUCCCGCUGAGUUGCUCCAGCUUUUUGUGU